rnacentral:rRNA from 1 species
ACGAACGCUGGCGGCGUGCCUAAUACAUGCAAGUAGAACGCUGAAGGCGGAGCUUGCUUCUCCGGAUGAGUUGCGAACGGGUGAGUAACGCGUAGGUAACCUGCCUGGUAGCGGGGGAUAACUAUUGGAAACGAUAGCUAAUACCGCAUAAGAGUAGAUGUCGCAUGACAUUUGCUUAAAAGGUGCAACUGCACCCCUACCAGAUGGACCUGCGUUGUAUUAGCUAGUUGGUGAGGUAACGGCUCACCAAGGCAACGAUACAUAGCCGACCUGAGAGGGUGAUCGGCCACACUGGGACUGAGACACGGCCCAGACUCCUACGGGAGGCAGCAGUAGGGAAUCUUCGGCAAUGGACGGAAGUCUGACCGAGCAACGCCGCGUGAGUGAAGAAGGUUUUCGGAUCGUAAAGCUCUGUUGUAAGAGAAGAACGAGUGUGAGAGUGGAAAGUUCACACUGUGACGGUAUCUUACCAGAAAGGGACGGCUAACUACGUG